UGAUACAGUGCUGUCUUCAUUUCUGC
rnacentral:piRNA from 1 species